AACUAUUCAUUUAAAGAAAAACCUCCUCUGAUCCCUGAAUUCGUUCCAUCUCCAGUUGAGAAAGGACAAUUUCUUCUUCUUCUUUGCAAUA